CUGUUACCAUCUCAUCGUACUCCUAAAAUUAGUGGAAAAUCAAAGAUAAAAAAGGGAACAUAUUAACAAAAUACAUACUUUUGGCAGAGUCUCAAGGUUUUCAGCUUCUUCAAGUUUGCUUGCAAUUUCAAGAUGAUACAAUCAUUUGGAAAAGCUCUCGCCAAAAAGACCAUGGAGAUUGUAGUAGAAAAUUGCAUGGGAGGGAGCAAUGUGGACAACAUGCAAACGCUGAAAAGAAAUUGGCAAGAGUAGAGCUGCAAAGCAUCAGAUGUCGAAGAGGAAGUGAAGAGAGAAGAAAUGUCAGGUAAAACGAAAAGGAAAAUUGAAGUUGACAAUUGGUUAAAGGAGGUUAAAUAUUUAAAUCCUGAAAUCGAUGCACUGGAAACACGAAGAUCAUCUUGGAGGCUUCCAUUGAAGGAGGAUCCUGUGCGGAAGCUGCAAUUUCAGGUGAAAGAACUUAUUGAUCAGAGCCGUCACUUCAAUGGGCUUGUGCUCCAUGCUUAUGACAACAUUGUGGAGCCAUGCUUGCCAACCAUAUUGUUUGGAGAAAAGGUCAAACAAAAUUUGGAGAGAAUUUGGCCAUGCUUGGUGACCGAUGACAUAUCAAGCAUUGGAAUUUAUGGGAUGGGAGGAGUUGGCAAGACCACAUUGGUGAAGCACAUCAAUUACUAUCUUCUACAAAAAGGUUAUCAAGUUCUUUGGGUGACAAUUUCUCAAGAGUUCAGUAUUAAGAGUUUGCAAGAAAAGAUUGCCAAUGUCUUAGGUGUUUGUUUAUCAGAUAAGGACGAUGAAGUAGUAAUGGCAUAUGUAUUGUAUGGGGCAUUCAGGAGAUUGGAGAAAUUAACAGUGCUCAUAUUGGAUGAUGUUUGGCAACAGUUUUGUUUACACAGGGCAGGGAUUUCUCUUGAUGCAAACAAGUGCAGGUUGAUAUUGACUACUCGCUCACUAGAAGUGUGUGACAGGAUGCAGUGUCAGAGAAUAUUUGAAGUGAAAAUUCUGGAUUCAAAUGAAGCUUGGGAAUUGUUCAUGUAUACACUAGGAGACAAGAAAGUGCUUCAUAUAGAUGUGGAAGAGAUUGCCAAGUCUGUCGCCAAAAGGUGUGCUGGUUUGCCUCUUGGUAUCGUCACUGUGGCUGGGAGCAUGAGAGGUGUUACUGACAUAUGUGAGUGGAGAAAUGCAUUGGAACAAUUGAAUUCAUGUUCAAUAGGGCAUGAUGAGAUGGAACGCGAUGUUUUUUCCAUCCUUGAGUGGAGUUUUGACCGAUUAAACAAAUAUGAACAGAAAUGUUUCCUGUAUUGCUGUCUUUAUCCAGAAGAUUGCAGGAUAGCAAGAGAGGGAUUAAUAAAUCUCUUCAUUAGGGAAGAGUUGAUGCCUAAACGAAGCUCAAGGUUAGCAGAAUUUGAUCAAGGUCAUAAGAUAUUAAACAAACUAGUAAAAGUUUGCUUGCUGGAAGAAACUACAGAUGACAGGGGCAAUGAGUGUGUAAGAAUGCAUGAUUUGAUAAGAGAUAUGGCAUUAAGGAUCACCAGUGGAAACUCUACUCUAAAGAUCAGCGGAGAUGUACCGAGGUUCUUGGUGAAGAGCAUACGAAUCGGAAAUUCCAGAGUGGCAUUCGAAGAAAAAGAAUGGACAGAAGAUCUCCAUGCAAUUUCCAUCUAUUCAAUUGGAAGUGCAAUAGAAAUUCCACCAGGCAUGUCACCAAAGUGUCCCAAGCUCUCAACCUUGCUUCUUCGUUCGCUACACAUAGGAAGAAUUCCAAAUACAUUCUUUAAGCACAUGUCUGGACUUAAGGUUCUAGAUCUAAGACACAAUAGAUUAAUAAAAGAGCUGCCUGACUGUGUUUCAAACCUGGUGAGUCUCACUGCUUUGGUGUUGCAGAAUUGUAUCCACCUCCAAUCUGUGCCACCAUUAGGAAAUCUUACACAAUUGAAGGAAUUGGACCUAUCUGGGUCUGGAAUUGAGGAUUUACCUCAAGGCUUGAAAUCAUUGGUCAACCUGGAAAGGCUGGACAUGCUCAAAUGCCAAAAUCUUCAAAGGGUGAUAAUACCAAAAGGGACAUUUUCUGAAUUGAGUUGUCUCCAACAGCUAGGAUUGGAUCCCUACUAUUUUGUACAAGUUAAUGAUCCAGAAGUGUCAAACCAAUUAGAAGUAUUUACUGGAUGCUUACCAUUUAAUGACUUCUAUGAAAUCUCUAGGCGGCCAAAACAUUAUACUGUUGAAUUCAAUGAGUUUUUACCUGAGGAUGGGUACUUUGAUCAUGAUGAUGAAUACAUUAAUGGUCAUUCUCAAGAGCUGUUGGCUUUCCGUCAGUGUAACUUCUGGAGAGGAUCGAAUAAUCCUGUUCUACUUCUGCCAAAUAAUGUCAAGCAUCUAAGACUUGUGAAAUGUGUUUGCUUGGGCAAUAGGUGCCUGUCAGAUGUUUUUAAGAACUUUACAAGUUUGAAAGACUUGUCUUAUUUGAGCAUUAUUGAUGUAGAUGACAUCGAGUUCCUCUUGAAAUUGCCCUCUCCUCCGCCUCCUCUUCAUGAUCAGUUGGUAGUCUCCUGUUUUAAUCCACUACAAAAUCUACAAGAGCUAAAACUCGUAGACUUGCUGAAUCUGGUUGAUCUCUUAUAUUGGGAAUCAGAACCAUCUUUUCUGCCACCUGCUACCUUUUCUUCCCUUGCCUGUAUCAUGAUUUCAAAAUGUCACAAGUUGAAGCAGCUGUUCACUGUGCAGUUGCUGCAAGGCCUUCAAAAUCUUGAUGACUUAUAUGUUGAUGAUUGUGAAGGACUGGAAGAGAUAGCAGAGGAUGAUGACGGAGUAGGACGUGGAGGAGAAGGAAUUCAAAGUGAAGCCACCACCACUGUCAUACUCCCGAAGUUAAGGCGUUUGUAUCUGAAUCGGCUUCCAGAACUGAAUCACAUCUGGAAUGCAGCCAAGAUUUGCAAAUCACUUCAGUAUAUUAAUGUACGUGACUGUCCAACGGUAAGGAGGCUGCCUUUGUUUCUUCCCACUACCACUGCACUGCCAUCUCCUCCCAACCCUCUUAUAGAAAUCUAUUGUGACCAAGGAUGGUGGCAAUCGUUAGUCUGGGAAAAUCCCAAUGACAAAGUUUCCCUUAAACCAAUUUUUUCAAAAGAAAAUGAAGAAUGAAUUGGAAGACCCUCUGUUUGAUCAAAUUCUUCACUGGUUGACAUUCAUCUAUGAACAUAUCAGACCUGUAUGGAAUGAUAUUUUUCUUUUAAAAAAACAGAUGGAAGAAAAACCUCAGAUGGAGUUUCCUCUUGCAAAAGACAAUGCAAUUGUAUGUCAUCUUAUAUGGUGUUGACUUCUGUAACAAAAAAGCAGAGUAUGUUUGAGAUGGCAACUAGCUAAUGCACGGUCAUGCAAUAUAUGAAGAAGAAAAAUUUGAGGAAAAGAAUAUCAGAACUUGUAAAAUAGCUGGCUGAAGUCUCAAGAUGACAGCCUAGAGGACGUUUAGUUAUAUUAUCUGUCAAAGGAAGUGAAGAAGUGGAUGGCGCAAUUGAUCUAGUUUUGUUGCAUGAAGAAGCAGAAACAAAAUGACCAGAAGGCCAAGGUGCUGCAACAUUGUCAUUGAGAUCGCUGAUGGGACUUCUUUAUUCUGCGUUCUAGAGGUUCUGCAUUUUCCGUUUAUCAGUUGGGCCAGAUGCUGUGUGACAACUGCAAAAUUUUCAUUCAAUCUCAAAGGCUUUCUGGUCGGUGAUUUUUCAAGCAGUAAAGGGUUGAGACCGGGGGAUCCCAUCUCCCCUUACCUAUUUCUUAUUGUCAAGGAGGUGUUCUCUCAGUUGUUUGAUGAUUAUAUCACUGCAGAUGCAUAUGAUUUUUAUCCUAGAUGUGCUGAGCUUGGGAUUUCACAUAUUUCCUUUGCAGAUGAUCUAUUUGUUAUGGCCUCUGCUGCUCCUAAAUCAUUCGAAUGACUAAGAAGACCUUAGCAGAAUUUUCAGACAUGCCUGUCCUUAUUCCAAACCUGUCUAAAUCUGAAAUAUUUUUAGCUGGAGUGGGGGAGGAGCUUCAGAAGAGGAUUGGUGAAGAUCUGGCUAUACCUAUUGUAACUCUAGCUGUAAAGUAAUUGGGGGUCCCCCUUAUUUCUACUAGAUUAACUAUGCAGGAGUGUCAACCUUUCUUGACAAAAUGAUGAAAAGAAUCCAGAACUGGGCAGUCAGGAAGCUAUCUUAUGGAGGAAGACUCACUCUUAUUAGAACUGUGCUUAACAGCAUAUUUGUAUACUGGGGCAGUAUAUUCAUAUUAUCCUCUGCUUUUGUAAAGAAAUUAGAGAGCUUGCUGAAUUCUUUUUUAUGGUCAGGUUUUGAGCUCAAGCAUUCUAAAACUAAAGUUGGCUGGAGGGAAUCUGUCUACCAUUGAAGAAGGUGGUUUGGAAUAAAGCCUUGGUGCUCAGGCACAAUUGGGAUAUCUUUCACAAGAAAGAUUCCCUAGGGAUAAGGUUGGUUCACAUACAUGCAUGCUGAGGGAUUAUUUUUUUUGGGCUAUUGACGCUUAGGCUUUUGGCUCUUGGAAUUGGACCGAACUGCUGAAGUUAAGACCUGUAGCUAGACAGUGUAUACAAAUGAUUGUUGGCAAUGGAAGAAAUAUGUACUUGUGGCAUGAUUGGUGGAAUCCUUAGGGGCUUCUCUAACUGACUUAUUCCAUGUGUAUCGUGCAGUUAUUUAGCUGUAUCCAGCAAGCUAAGGUUGAUAGUAUCAUCCACAGUGG